UUUUAAUAAUUUAAAUAAAAUACUGGUCUUGUAAACCAAUAAUAAGAAAUUUUCUUUUAAAACAU
rnacentral:tRNA from 1 species